rnacentral:rRNA from 1 species
AUUGAACGCUGGCGGCAUGCCUUACACAUGCAAGUCGAACGGCAGCGGGCCCUUCGGGGUGCCGGCGAGUGUCGAACGGGUGAGUAAUGCAUCGGAACGUACCCGGGAGAGGGGGAUAACCGGCCGAAAGGCUGGCUAAUACCGCAUGAACUCGGAAGAGCAAAGCGGGGGACCUUCGGGCCUCUCGCUCUCGGAGCGGCCGAUGUCCGAUUAGGCAAGUUGGUGGGGUAAAGGCCCACCAAGGCGACGAUCGUUAGCGGGUCUGAGAGGACGAUCCGCCACACUGGAACUGAGACACGGCCAAGACUCCUGCGGGAGGCAGCAGUGGGGAAUCUUGGACAAUGGGCGCAAACAUGAUCCAGCAAUGCCGCGUGGGUGAAGAAGGCCUUCGGGUUGUAAAGCCCUUUCGGCGGGGAAGAAAUCGGUCAGGCGAAUAGUCUGGCCGGAUGACGGUACCCGCAGAAGAAGCACCGGCUAACUACGUG